GACGUAGGGCGCGAGCGUUGUCCGGAUUUAUUGGGCGUAAAGAGCUCGUAGGCGGCUUGUCGCGUCGUUCGUGAAAACCUGCAGCUCAACUGCAGGCUUGCGGUCGAUACGGGCAGGCUAGAGUUCGGUAGGGGGAGACUGGAAUUCCUGGUGUAGCGGUGAAAUGCGCAGAUAUCAGGAGGAACACCGGUGGCGAAGGCGGGGUC
rnacentral:rRNA from 1 species